rnacentral:tRNA from 1 species
GGUAAUGUAGCUCAGUUGGUGGAGUGCUUGCUUUCCAUGCAUGAAGCCCUGGGUUCAAUCCCCAGCACCA